GUGAAUUUAGUUAUUUGUGUGGUAAUAAGUCUAAUAACCUAGCCUACUAAUUUCUACUUGGGAAUUUCAGCUGAUCAUGUGGCCUACAUUUUGCCAAGAUGUCGUCUCUUUUUCCUGUACGUACCGGCUGUACGUUUUGUAAGAAACACUUCAGAACAAAUCAGACAGUCUGGUAAAGUCUGAGCUUCGUCGUUGCUGCCCAAUUAUGGAUUUGGUGCAGCCAGCUGGUAAAGGGUGUUCCUCUUGCUACCUGUACUCUUGUGUGUUUCGUCAAAUGAAGAAACAUGAACAACUGAAGUUUAUCGUGUAUGUUCGCGUAGUUGCUGUCCGCUGUGGUACUUUGUUGCAGCCUAUGCUGGUGAUAGAUCUUUCUGCAUCAAAUUCAAUUGGCCGUGCUGUUGUCGUGUAACCGUUAAAUGUUAAGAAGGAAAAAAAAAAUAUGGGGAUAGUUAUGUCUAGCAAGUAAUAAACAUGUUUUCGGGAUUGGGAAAGGAAAGUGGAAGAUGUUGGAGAGGGGGAUGUUUCAAGUUUGGAUAAAAACAGUUAAUUUUAAGUUUUAACCCUACAAACAUAUCCCUACCAACUAAUCUCCAAACCCCACAAACUUAUACCUUCCAACUCUUCACACACAAACACACCUACCAACCCUAAAUUUAUAUCAUAUCCAAAUUAACCAAUGUUAAACCCUAACAAUGUGAUGUCUGUAAUAAAUAAAACUUUGUAUACAUAAAACUGAUUUUUAUUA
rnacentral:lncRNA from 1 species